rnacentral:rRNA from 1 species
CAGUAGCCACGGGAAUACCGAGGGUGCGAGCGUUAAUCGGAUUUACUGGGCGUAAAGCGUGCGCAGGCGGUUAUAUAAGACAGAUGUGAAAUCCCCGGGCUCAACCUGGGAACUGCAUUUGUGACUGUAUAGCUAGAGUACGGCAGAGGGGGAUGGAAUUCCGCGUGUAGCAGUGAAAUGCGUAGAUAUGCGGAGGAACACCGAUGGCGAAGGCAAUCCCCUGGGCCUGUACUGACGCUCAUGCACGAAAGCGUGGGGAGCAAACAGGAUUAGAUACCCCAGUAGUCCCUGUCUCUUAUAC